rnacentral:rRNA from 1 species
GAUGAACGCUGACAGAAUGCUUAACGCAUGCAAGUCUUUGGCGAAGCUGUGCUUGCACAGCCUAGCCAAGGCGGACGGGUGAGUAACGCGUAAGGAACUUGCCCUGCAGUCAGGGAUAACAGACGGAAACGACUGAUAAGACCUGGUAAAGUCAGGCGGACUCAUGUCCAGCCUGAUGAAAAGAGAUGCUGCAGGAGAGCCUUGCGUCCUAUUAGCUUGUUGGUGGGGUAACGGCCCACCAAGGCGAUGAUAGGUAGCCGGCCUGAGAUGGUGGACGGCCACAAGGGGACUGAGAGACCGCCCUUACCACUACGGGAGGCAGCAGGGAGGAAUAGUGGACAAGGGGGGCAACCCUGAUCCAGCAAUUCUGUGUGCACGAUGAAGGUUUUCGGAGUGUAAAGUGCUUUCAGAAGGGAAGAAAAAAAUGACGGUACCUGCAGAAGAAGCGACGGCUAAAUACGUG